CCUACGGGUGGCUGCAGUGGGGAAUAUUGGACAAUGGGCGAAAGCCUGAUCCAGCCAUGCCGCGUGAGUGAUGAAGGCCUUAGGGUUGUAAAGCUCUUUCGGCGGGGACGAUAAUGACGGUACCCGCAGAAGAAGCCCCGGCUAACUUCGUGCCAGCAGCCGCGGUAAUACGAAGGGGGCUAGCGUUGCUCGGAAUCACUGGGCGUAAAGGGCGCGUAGGCGGCCGAUCAAGUCAGGGGUGAAAGCCUGUGGCUCAACCACAGAAUUGCCUUUGA
rnacentral:rRNA from 1 species